rnacentral:lncRNA from 1 species
AUGCAGGUUACAGAAGAGGAAGAACAAGACUCCCGACUGCCGUCAGUCUGUAAUAGUUUAAAUAUAGCCUCGGUGAAAGUAGCCGAGAUGAAGCGGUCCCUCUGGAGCCCAGAGCUGUCUGUCUAUUCGCAGGCUGCCCAUUCACCAAACCUGAAACAGAUGGACAGGCAGCAAGCCCUUGAACGCAGAGCAGAUGAUACCGAAUCCCUACACUCUCCACUGAGCAAACAGAGAAAGGAGAUAACAAGCACAUUUUCCUUUCAUUUCCCUUCCCUGUCUGCUUGGUUAGACGCAAUUGCACCCCUCGCCCCUGGAUGUGCAGCAUCAGACACAAAUACCUGGCUAGAAGCUGUCCUGGGAGCGGGCAGCUUCCCUGCUGGGCUUGCGGCCGGUCCCACUGCUGCCCUGGCAGCCAGCAUGCCACGCUGGGCCACACUGCCGCUGGUGUCCCCCACCGCCAGUGUCCCUGCCACCGGUGUCCCCCGCGAGCUCCAGCUCCCCGCUGCCCGCCUGCCCGCCUCGCUUUGGGGUGGGCUGCGCUGGGGACCCCGGUGGGGACAGGAGCGGACACAGUCUGUCUCGGGGCUUGUUGGGCAACACACAGGUGGGCCGACACUUUGCCAUAGACAUCUGCGCAAAGAUGAAGCACCAGAAGGAGAAAAUAUGCUGAUAGACAUAAAUGAGGCUGCGAUAAUGAACCAACAUCCAACACUUCCAGCGAUGAGUAAUAGGCAGGCAGAUCAAACAGGCGCCCUGUUAGGGGUAGGCAGCAAGAGAAGGAAAGAGCCCUGUCCCCUCCCUCUCCCCACACGCUUUUUCUCCCUCUCUCUCCCCUCUUCUCUCCCUCUCUUUCCCUCCUCCCCCUGCAUAAAUGUUUCAUCCAGGAUAAUGUCUCUCUUCAUGAGGAGAGAAAGAAUUAAAUAUUUCACGAGACUGCAGUCAGUCUUGGAGGGCCCUUCUGUUGACAUUUCAAACAUAUAUUUGACAUUGCUUUCUCAUUCCCUCUUGGUGGAGCAGAGAGCUCUACAGAAAGCACAUUAUCCUCGGAGAGCGGGAACGCUGCGUGCCAGCCACGCCAUCUUAAUGGGAAGCAAAAUGGAGGGAGCAGGCCUUCCCUACCACUCUGCAUUGCCUCCCUCUUCUCUGUCUCCUUUUCCCUUUCUCUUCUUCCUUUCUCCUCCUGAGUGUCCCUGUCCAUCUGCCUCUCCCUUCCCAGCUCUUCAGGAGCACAGUCAGUCCCUGCCCUGCUUUUUGUCUCUUUCCUACAGCAAAGCUUGA